AGAGUUUGAUCCUGGCUCAGAUUGAACGCUGGCGGCAUGCCUUACACAUGCAAGUCGAACGGCAGCGGGGACUUCGGUCCGCCGGCGAGUGGCGAACGGGUGAGUAAUAUAUCGGAACGUACCUUUCAGUGGGGGAUAACGUACGAAAGUUACGCUAAUACCGCAUACGUCCUGAGGGAGAAAGCGGGGGAUCGCAAGACCUCGCGCGAUUGNAGUGGCCGAUGUCAGAUUAGCUAGUUGGUGGGGUAAAGGCCUACCAAGGCAACGAUCUGUAGCUGGUCUGAGAGGAUGAUCAGCCACACUGGGACUGAGACACGGCCCAGACUCCUACGGGAGGCAGCAGUGGGGAAUUUUGGACAAUGGGGGCAACCCUGAUCCAGCCAUUCCGCGUGAGUGAAAGAAGGCCUUCGGGUUGUAAAGCUCUUUCGGCAGGAACGAAACGGUGAGCUCUAACAUAGCUUGCUAAUGACGGUACCUGAAGAAGAAGCACCGGCUAACUACGUGCCAGCAGCCGCGGUAAUACGUACGGGUGCGAGCGUUAAUCGGAAUUACUGGGCGUAAAGCGUGCGCGCGCGGUUGUGUACGACAGGUGUGAAAUCCCCCGGCUUACUUGGACUGCGCUUGUACUGCACGGCUAGUUUUGCCGACGGGGGUGCAUUCCCUGUUGCACUCGCUNCUUCGAGAUU
rnacentral:rRNA from 1 species